GCCCAUAUAGCUCAGGGGUAGAGCACUUCCUUGGUAAGGAAGAGGUCGGCGGUUCAAUUCCGCUUAUGGGCUCCA
rnacentral:tRNA from 3 species